rnacentral:rRNA from 1 species
UACGGAGGGUGCAAGCGUUAUCCGGAUUCACUGGGUUUAAAGGGUGCGUAGGAGGGCAGGUAAGUCAGUGGUGAAAUCCUAGAGCUUAACUCUAGAACUGCCGUUGAUACUAUCUGUCUUGAAUAUUGUGGAGGUGAGCGGAAUAUGUCAUGUAGCGGUGAAAUGCUUAGAUAUGACAUAGAACACCAAUUGCGAAGGCAGCUCGCUACACAUAUAUUGACUCUGAGGCACGAAAGCGUUGGGGAUCAAACAGG